GCACUCUUAGUUCAGUGGUAGAAUUCAAGCUUCCCAGUCCCAUAUGUGUAUGCUUGAGGCCCGGGUCCGAUUCCCGGAGGGUGCA